GCUGUUUAUAGGGGGUAGCCGUAACAUGUAGUUCGAGCGCGUGACUGGAGCUUGCUCCUGGAUUCAGCGGCGGACGGGUGAGUAAUGCCUAGGAAUCUGCCUGGUAGUGGGGGAUAACGUCCGGAAACGGGCGCUAAUACCGCAUACGUCCUGAGGGAGAAAGUGGGGGAUCUUCGGACCUCACGCUAUCAGAUGAGCCUAGGUCGGAUUAGCUAGUUGGUGGGGUAAAGGCCUACCAAGGCGACGAUCCGUAACUGGUCUGAGAGGAUGAUCAGUCACACUGGAACUGAGACACGGUCCAGACUCCUACGGGAGGCAGCAGUGGGGAAUAUUGGACAAUGGGCGAAAGCCUGAUCCAGCCAUGCCCGCGUGUGUGAAGAAGGUCCUGG
rnacentral:rRNA from 1 species